GGUGGGGACCAUGGGUAGCUUAGGGGUUAGAGCAUCGGACUCCGGAUCGGAAUGCCUGGGUUCGAUGCCCAAUCCCACCA